AAAUGAUUUUAUCUAAAACCUGAUCACAAUUUUCCUGAAAACGUUGGAAAUUAUUUAAUAUUUGGCAACACCACACUGCACGUUUACAAUUGGUUAUGGCAUGUUUAUAUAUACGCAGGUUCGGUCUCUUCGUCGGACUCGGGUCAUAGUACCAUCAGCCAAGUGACGACCAGCUCCAACGAUUGUCAUUCCUACCAACCUAGGUGUCCGAGUCCGCCCAGACAUCCGCCGCCUAUACCAGGCUGGUUACCUGCUCGCAUUGGUUCUUUGCCCCCUUGUGCUCUAGCUGUGGCCGUUUUACCUCCCUUACCUAUAGCUUUUCGUAAUUCCAACAAUGGUAAGUUACAAGUAGUAGGUAUUUGAUUUCUUCAUAUAGCCACUUUUGUAGAUAGCUUUUGAUCAUUUAGAAGUAUUUUUUGUUAAUGAUAUCAACUCUUGCAUUUACAAUAAUGGUAUAUUGAUAUCAAUUUUACUCUCAACAUAGAAAUUAUAAUGCUGCGUUAGUUGCUUGAAGGACUAAUUGUGAACGGUGAAGUCAUCUUUAUUUGUAAUAUGCCGACGACACAGUACUCUUAGCUUCUACUUAAGAAGAUCCGCAAACAUUACUUGACAGUGUCGUUGAGAGCUGUAAGAGAACUGGAUCUGAAUAUACGGAAAACCAAAAUACUCGUAAUAAGUAAACAACAGAAUAUAAAACCGUUUAUAUGUAAAUGGUACCAAACUUGAGCAAGUUGAUCAAAUUGUUGACCCAGAUGGUCACGGUGAAAAGAAUGUCCAAGGUAUUAGUAACACAGACUUAAAACUAGGUGUUACUUCAUAUAUGGUGUUAAGAAAUGUAACGUAUGUCAUGUAUGGUAAUGAUGUUUUCGAAAACAAACAAACGUUUUGCUACAUAAAACUGGAGUACUUGUGACAUCUAAUGAAAGGUCCCAAAUAUAGAUUAGUAAAAUAUUAUGCAAAGGAAAA
rnacentral:lncRNA from 1 species